rnacentral:pre_miRNA from 12 species
GGGCAGUGUGCCGGCACCUUGGCUCUAGACUGCUUACUGCCCGGGCCGCCCUCAGUAACAGUCUCCAGUCACGGCCACCGACGCCUGGC